rnacentral:rRNA from 1 species
UACGUAGGGUGCAAGCGUUGUCCGGAAUUAUUGGGCGUAAAGAGCUCGUAGACGGUCUGUCGCGUCUGCUGUGAAAACUCGGGGCUUAACCCCGGGCCUGCAGUGGGUACGGGCAGACUAGAGUGCGGUAGGGGAGACUGGAAUUCCUGGUGUAGCGGUGAAAUGCGCAGAUAUCAGGAGGAACACCGGUGGCGAAGGCGGGUCUCUGGGCCGUAACUGACGCUGAGGAGCGAAAGCGUGGGGAGCGAACAGG